rnacentral:lncRNA from 1 species
AUAAGAUAAAUCUGCGAAUCAAGAAAGUCACUUAAAUCUGCAAUCUCUCUUUUGUCUGAUAGUUAAAAAAAAAAAAAAACCCGGUGAAUUUCCAUUGAAGGAAAAGAAGGAGCCUUAACGAACCGAUGCGUGGAAACUUCCAUAUAUCUUUAACACCUUCUACAGCAAGAACAACAUCGACGACAGCUUA